rnacentral:RNase_P_RNA from 1 species
GAGGAAAGUCCGGGCACCACAGGGCUGGUCGCUGGGUAAUGCCCAGUGCGCGUGAGCGUGAGGAUAGUGCCACAGAAAUGAAAACCGCCGGCUUGUCCGGUAAGGGUGCAACGGUGCGGUAAAAGCGUCACCAGCGGAGUCGAGAGGCUCCGGCUAGGUAAACCCCACUAAAGGUGCAAGGCGAAGGUAUAUCACGAGAAAACGGUGGCCCGCCGCCUCGAGAUGCCGAUGCUGCUAGAGGGUUUGGGUAACCAAAUUCCAAGAUAGAUGACGAUUUAAACAGAACCCGGCUUA